UUGGAAUAGAAGACGGAGUCUGGCUUCUGUAGGAGUCCGGACGAAGUCUACUUGCAGUUGGGGUUGUGGGCGGAGUCCGGCUCCCGUAGGAGUCCGGAUGAAGUCUGUCUGCAGCCGUUGGAGUCGAGGACGGAGCCCGGCUCCCAUAAGAAUCCAGGCGGAGUCUCCCUGCAAUUAAAAUCAAAGGCAAAGUCCGGCUCCUGUAGGAGUUCGGACAAGGCUUACCAGCAGUUGAAGUUGAGGACGGAGCCCGACUCCCGUAGGAGUCCGGGCGGAGUCUACUUGCGGUUGAAGUCGUGGGCGGAGUCCGGCUCCCGUAGGAGCCCGGACG
rnacentral:lncRNA from 1 species